UACGUAGGGUGCGAGCGUUAAUCGGAAUUACUGGGCGUAAAGCGUGCGCAGGCGGUUCGUUGUGUCGGUGGUGAAAUCCCCGGGCUUAACCUGGGAAUGGCCAUGGAAACUGGCGAACUGGAGUGCGGCAGAGGGGGGUGGAAUUCCGCGUGUAGCGGUGAAAUGCGUAGAUAUCAGGAGGAACACCGGUGGCGAAGGCGGCCCUCUGGACGGUGACUGACGCUGAGACGCGAAAGCGUGGGGAGCAAACAGG
rnacentral:rRNA from 1 species